CUUCUUCUUUCUCUUUUUCGAUUCAUCAUCAUCUUUAUCUUCCUUUUCUUCUUCAAUCUUCUUUCUCUUUUUCGAUUCAUCAAUCACUCAUCAUCUUCUUCUUCAACUUCUUCUUCGAUCUAUUACUCAACAGCUUCUUCUUCUUUGAUCCAUCACCAACAUCUUUUUCUUCGAUUCACCAUCUUUGAACAUCAUCAUCUUCUUCGCCUUUCAGAUCUAUACACGAGCUCCACCUUACAGAUCUCGCCGCCGGUGUCUCCAGUCAUCAGUUCGUCGGUCGUUGUUGCUUCGUCGAUUUCUUCUCGACACAAAAUCUUCUUUUUCU
rnacentral:lncRNA from 1 species